rnacentral:rRNA from 1 species
AUUGAACGCUGGCGGCAGGCCUAACACAUGCAAGUCGAACGAGUGGCGGACGGGUGAGUAGUGUCUGGGAAACUGCCUGAUGGAAGGGGAUAACUACUGAAAACGGUAGCUAAUACCGCAUACCAUCAGAUGUGCCCAGAUGGGAUUAGCUUGUGGGUGGGGUAACGGCGCACAAAGGCGACGAUCCCUACCUGGUCUGAGAGGAGUACCAGCCACACUGGAACUGAGACACGGUCAAGACUCCUACGGGAGGCAGCAGUGGGGAAUAUUGCACAAUGGGCGCAAGCCUGAUGCAGCCAUGCCGCGUGUAUGAAGAAGGCCUUCGGGUUGUAAAGGACUUUCAGCGGGGAGGCGUUACCCGCAGAAGAAGCACCGGCUAACUCCGUGCCAGCAGCCGCGGUAAUUC